CUUUCUGAGAUACUCGACACCACAGUUCACUUGUUUAACUCUAAACCUCAAGAAUGUUUAGCAUCUCAGGAAGAGACCUCACACCAGUUUGGAGUAAUCCCUGCUUCUGCCUCCCUCGGCCCCAGAAACCAAACUACCUCUUGUUUACCCAGGACCUGCUAAGGAGUGUCCCAUCUGACCGUGCAGCUACAGCAUCUAUGCAUACGGCAUACUCAUUCCGUUCAGCCGCUCGUCUGUCUGCUCAUAGCCACUGGUGACCUCUGGCUGUGCUGACUGACACCUUCUGAGCAGAUCUUCCCGAGAGUCAGAAACAGCCCUACUCCUGCUGAGAGGAGUCCCACAUGAAGACCAAGCUACGCAACUAUAGCAUAUGUGCAGAGGGCCUAGGAGAAGAACACCUGCAGAAGACACCCACCCCAGCAGCUCACCUGCCAUGCCCUG